GACGAACCGUGCGAACGUUGUUCGGAAUCACUGGGCUUAAAGGGCGCGUAGGCGGGCUGCCAAGUCUGGGGUGAAAUCCCACGGCUCAACCGUGGAACUGCCUCGGAUACUGGCGGCCUCGAGGGAGGUAGGGGCGUGCGGAACUGUGGGUGGAGCGGUGAAAUGCGUUGAUAUCCACAGGAACUCCGGUGGCGAAGGCGGGUCUCUGGGCCGAUACUGACGCUGAGGAGCGAAAGCGUGGGGAGCGAACAGG
rnacentral:rRNA from 1 species